UGAGGAGAAAGCCAUCAUCUUCAUUUAUUAGAUCGUCCACCAAUGUUGAAAUUAAAAGGAAAUUCUCCAAGCUUUUGGCCACAAAUUGCUAAAGAUGAUGCAGGGCUAUCGAGAUGGAAAGGAAAAGCGAGAGCCGACAACGAGUUGAUGCGAGCUUUCGGUUUGUAUUUCUAUGAUUUGGGAUAAAUUUAAUUAUUGCAUAUUUGUGAUGUUUUGCAUAAUUUGACAUUGAGGUGAAUUAAGAACGAUUAUUUGAAUUGAGCUGCUAUGAUUGAGAUUGAUUAUUAAGAUAGAUGACUAAA